GCCUGCUUAGCUCAGUGGUAGAGCGCGUCACUUGUAUAUUCUUGAUCAUCCAUUAAAGAAUCUGCAUGACGAGGUCAGUCGUUCAAACCGGCUAGUUGGCA